ACACAGAUAUACACACUGAAAGAUACAGACACACACACACACACUCAGGUGCACAUUGACAGAUACAUACAGACACACAAACAGAUACACAUAAAAACAAAAUAUAAAUAAAAUAUAUGUGUAAAAAUGUAGAGAAACAAUAAUAAAGUAAUCAAUUCUAUGGGCAGAUUCACACCAAAUAAACACAGCUUUAGUUGAGAAUCUCAGAAAAAAAAAGAAAGCGUGAGCGCUCCAGAUAGAUAUAUAUAAUAAAAAAAAAAAUUUUUUAAAUGUAUUGCACUAAUUAAACAACACACUUUAAAAAAAUAAAUGCAAACGACAGAAAAUGGGCCAUGCACAUAAAAUAUAAGACAGGUUAUGCAAGAUAAAAAAGUACACAACAUGGGCAGUCUGUAUAUAAAGAGC